GUGACCCCACUUACCACCACACAUUCUCUCAAAAUAUCUCCCUCUCUCCCUCUUUGGCCAGUCAAAGUAAGUGUCCCUCUACACUUUUCUUUUGUUCAUUUUUUCCUCCCAAACAUAACAAGCACUCCUCCCUCACUCUCUCCCACCGUGUACCUCCUUCCCCACCAUCUCCACCAUCUUUUCCGGCAUGAUCACCGCAAAGCUCUCUAGGAACCUCUAAGGCAUAUUCAUCUCUUUUGAUUUAAGGUUCCGAUAUUCUUGGUGAUGGACCUAGUGACUGGACUAGUUGAUUUUGUGGUGCCCGGUUGAGGUAAAAUUGGUUGGCCUUCCGAGGUAAGUAGCUUUUUAAUGGGUAUUUUUGAAAAAUAACCAUAUCUUAUAAAUAUUGUUUUUGGGUCAAACACAUUUUGGAAAAUUAAUGGUGGAACUAUGUUUUUCUAAAAGGUGUUGUGUUAUGACCCUACUAUAUAUAUGAUUAUAUAUGAAAAUGCAUAUUCUUAUUGCAUAUGGGGAAUUUGCAUGAUUUGUUAGCAAAGAAAAGACUAGCAUCUUUGAUUAAAUUCUAGAAAAUGCGUAUUAUGGAUUUAUUGCAUUAUUUGCAAAAAUAUAAAGAUGCUUUAUCUUGGCCUAUGUUAUUUGGGAAGUUAAUACAAAAUCUCUUUGGCAAGAAAUAAGUUGAAGGCAUUGAAAACCUUGUGAAUAUCUUGGGCAUUCAAAUGUUUUAUGAAACUACUUAGAAGUGAAAUUAUGUAUUUUGAAUUAAAGUUAUGUGAGCUCUUUAUGUUCUACCCAUGUGCUGUGACAUGUGAUUACUCGGUGAUUACCUAGCUAGAUACUAUAGUCUGUGUGACAUUAGUAUCUUAGCACCCGUCUUUGUGAUGGUUAUUAGUUCCGGCUUUGUGUCGGCGAUGAGUUCCGGCUUUGUGUCGGCAGUUUAGUUCCGGCUUUGUGUCGGCAAUGAGUUCCGGCUUUGUGUCGGCGAUUAUCAUGUGGCCUUGGGUUAGAUUUUCUGGUUUGGAACGGUGUUGUUAUUGCUCACAGUAUAGUAAGUAGUUCCAUGUUGAGAUAUUUUGAGAAAUAUAUAGUAUGUAAUCUCAUGAGAACAUUUUGAAAAGCUUUGUGCUGUGUCAAUUUAUUCAUUCUUGUCA